CCUACGGGUGGCUGCAGUGGGGAAUAUUGGACAAUGGGCGAAAGCCUGAUCCAGCCAUGCCGCGUGUGUGCAGAAGGCCUUCGGGUUGUAAAGCACUUUCAGUGGGGAAGAAAGCCUUGGGGCUAAUACCCUCGAGGAAGGACAUCACCCACAGAAGAAGCACCGGCUAACUCCGUGCCAGCAGCCGCGGUAAUACGGAGGGUGCGAGCGUUAAUCGGAAUUACUGGGCGUAAAGCGCGCGUAGGCGGUCUGAUAAGCCGGUUGUGAAAGCCCCGGGCUCAACCUGGGAACGGCAUCCGGAACUGUCAGGCUAGAGUGCAGGAGAGGAAGGUAGAAUUCCCGGUGUAGCGGUGAAAUGCGUAGAGAUCGGGAGGAAUACCAGUGGCGAAGGCGGCCUUCUGGACUGACACUGACGCUGAGGUGCGAAAGCGUGGGUAGCAAACAGGAUUAGAUACCCUGGUAGUC
rnacentral:rRNA from 1 species